rnacentral:rRNA from 1 species
CGCGUAGGUGGUAGUGUAAGUCUGGGGUGGAAUCCCAGGGCUUAACCCUGGAACUGCCUUGGAAACUGCAUUACUUGAGUCAGUGAGGGGAGGGUAGAAUUCCUGGUGUAGCGGCGAAAUGCGUAGAUAUCAGGAGGAAGGCCUGUGGCGAAGGCGGCCCUCUGGCGCUGGACUGACACUGAGGCGCGAAAGCGUGGGGAGCAAACAGGAUUAGAUACCCUGGUAGUCCACGCCCUAAACGGUGGGCACUAGGUGUAGGGCUCGUAAGGGUUCUGUGCCGAAGGGAAACCAUUAAGUGCCCCGCCUGGGGAGUACGGCCGCAAGGUUGAA